AACGAACGCUGGCGGCGUGCCUAACACAUGCAAGUCGAGCGCGAAAGGAGCAAUCCGAGUAGAGCGGCGCACGGGUGCGUAACACGUGGGUAAUCUGCCUCGAAGUCGGGAAUAACCUUCCGAAAGGUUGGCUGAUGCCCGGUAAGCUCACGGUGACUUCGGUCGCUGGGGGAAUAGGUGGCCUCUGUUUACAUGCUAUCGCUUCGAGAUGAGCCCGCGGCCCAUCAGCUAGUUGGCGGGGUAAUGGCCCACCAAGGCUACGACGGGUAGCUGGUCUGAGAGGACGAUCAGCCACACUGGAACUGAGACACGGUCCAGACUCCUACGGGAGGCAGCAGUGGGGAAUUUUGCACAAUGGGCGAAAGCCUGAUGCAGCAACGCCGCGUGUGUGAUGAAGGUCUUCGGAUCGUAAAGCACUUUCGAUCGGGACGAAUAAGCCAGACCUAACACGUCUGGCCUUGACGGUACUGAGAGAAGAAGCACCGGCUAACUCUGUGCCAGCCGCCGCAGUAA
rnacentral:rRNA from 1 species